GACGAACGCUGGCGGCGUGCUUAACACAUGCAAGUCGAACGGAAAGGCCCUGCUUUUGUGGGGUGCUCGAGUGGCGAACGGGUGAGUAACACGCGAGUAACCUGCCCUUGACUUUGGGAUAACUUCAGGAAACUGGGGCUAAUACCGGAUAGGAGCUCCUGCUGCAUGGUGGGGGUUGGUAAGUUUCGGCGGUUGGGGAUGGACUCGCGGCUUAUCAGCUUGUUGGUGGGGUAGUGGCUUACCAAGGCUUUGACGGGUAGCCGGCCUGAGAGGGUGACCGGCCACAUGGGGACUGAGAUACGGCGCAGACUCCAACGGUACGCAGCGGUGGAGAAUAUUGCACAAUGGGCGGAAGCCAGAUGCAGCAACGCCGCGUGCGGGAUGACGGCCUUCGGGUUGUGAACCGAUGUCGCCUGUGCCGAAGCGUGAGUGACGGUAACGGGUAAAGAAGCACCGGCUAACUACGUG
rnacentral:rRNA from 1 species